GACGUAGGGCGCGAGCGUUGUCCGGAAUCAUUGGGCGUAAAGCGCGUGUAGGCGGCCCGGUAAGUCCGCUGUGAAAGUCCAGGGCUCAACCCUGGGAUGCCGGUGGAUACUGUCGGGCUCGAGUCCGGAAGAGGCGAGUGGAAUUCCUGGUGUAGCGGUGAAAUGCGCAGAUAUCAGGAGGAACACCAAUGGCGAAGGCAGCUCGCUGGGACGUGACUGACGCUGAGACGCGAAAGCGUGGGGAGCAAACAGG
rnacentral:rRNA from 1 species